AUACUCUGGUUUCUCUUAAGAUCGUAUAAAUCUUUCGUAUUUUUACUAAAGAUUUCCGUGAAGAGAAACAACUAUGAGUUUUUAAAUAAUUUUUGAGGUUCUUCAUGGUAGAGC